GGCUCGUUCUCCUACUCAUCCCGCCACGCACGGCCUCUCGGAACCCGGGCUUUCCUACCAGCUCUUUUCCUUUGCUCUCUUCUGCGCUAUGGAAAGCAGGGAGGCAAGCCUCGCCAAUUCGGGAACACAAAUAUUUGCCAGUCAAGAAAACAUUCCGCUAUCAGUCAAAACCCAGACGAGCUGGCACACGUGGUCUACAGAUGCCGGAGGGAGCUUCUAUUUUAGGGGACACCAGGCUUGCAGCGUCUCCCCCUCCCCAGACAACCCAGGCUCCUUCUCAUUCCUACCUCGUCUGCUGAUGAGGAGACUGACGUUCAAAGUCAUCACUGGCCCUCUGUCACACCGCAUCAGGACGGACCUUUUCUUUCUUUUCCUUUUCCGUUUUCCUCACGUGAUCUCCACACUCAAUGAAGGGCUUGAACUCAGGAUCCCAAAAGCAAGAGCGGUUCCCUCCAGGGCGCCCGGCUGGCUCCGUUGGGAGAACAUGGCACAAUGAUGAAGUGUUCAAAUUCAGCCACUGCCUGUCCCUAACAGCCUGUCCUAGCAGAUUCAUGCCCAGGAAACCGGUUCUGGCCCCGGUUAAAAUUCCGUUUUCUGUCCUCGCGCCAGACCCCUGACUUAGAAUUCUCCAGAAGUGUGCACGUUUCUUUCUCCUCUUUUUUAAAAUUUUUAUUUAUUUGAGAGAGAGAAAGAGAGAGCGAGCACAAGCGGGUGCCGGGGCAGAGGGAGAAGCAGGCUCGGCGCUGAGCAGGGGCCUGAUGCUGUGGGAAUCGAUCCCAGGACCCUGAGAUGAUGACCUGACUCAAAGGUAGAGGCUUAACCCCCUGAGCCAUCCGGCCGUGUGCAUGUCAACGCUCACAGCCCGCUGGGGGCUCCGACCCAGGAGAGGGCGUGAGCCCCCCGAGUGGCGGGGCAGACAGAGAACCCAUCAGCUGGCGCGGCAGCCCAGCGAACCUGCCCCUUCCCGAGCCAG
rnacentral:lncRNA from 1 species